GGAAACUACUAUGGAUAAAAAUGGCAUAUGUCUAGUGCCUAAUUUAGGGAUCAAGAACUUAUUUCUGCCUAGUACUACACAUCAUUUACAAAGUCUUCAUUAGCCCAUUGAACCCUUCCAUUAUAUGCCAGGCGAGGCCAAGGUUGUUAAAUCACUUUUACUCCAGGUCACACACAACGCCUGGGUGGAGGCUUUUCAUGGUUUCUGAGCACCAGAUCUUUACUCUGUCCAUAUUUCCAUCUUGCCGGCUGAGCCAAUACAUAGUGAGGGGCUGACAGGAGCUACUCUGCGUAUUUCAUUGAGAAAUUAACAACAGAAGAGACUCUUCCUGAAGACUUGCAUUCCACCUGCUUUGUGUACGCCACAGCUCUUCUGGAGGAAGCACACGGCUGAGCUGUGAUUCCAGCAAGGGCACUGCGGAUAUCUGCCACCUGAGCCUCCAGGUUGUGGAUCAGACUCUGGAUUUGGGCCAGCAGGGCUGUGUAGCGGGCCUCUGUCUCUGUCAGGAUGCAUUCCUGGGAAUCUCUCUAUGGAAGAGGAGGAAACCAGAUUCUAAUGAUGACUCCUUUAAAAUUCUCAGAAGGCCAUGGUUAAAGCCAUUUUAAACAGUUAGCUUCUCUGCGACAGUACUAAGGGUUCUCUAAGUCCUUUAUUACUUCCUAACCAAAUAAAUCCAAACAAAAAUGAUGUUUGUUUUCUUUUAUUCCUUCUCUUUCUUAUCUCUUUGGUUUAUUUCUGUCUUUUUUUUUUAACCACUUAAUCUUUUAUCCCCUGGCUCAUGAGAGAGAGAAAAAAACUUCACCUCACUUCAUUGAAGGCCCAGGCCUUAAAAUCAUACCAGGACACCUCAUUCAGACUGCAUUUGAGCCUUGGAAAGGAAGUGAGCAAUGUUUAACUAGAAGCAUUUGUCUCAGUGUGUCAAUUUCUUUAUAAAUAAAACAUGAGUGUUGAAGCUG